GCCAGAGUAGUUUAGCAAAAACGUUGGUCUUGUAAACCAAAGCCGGGGAGCCACCCACCCCCUCAGGCA
rnacentral:tRNA from 1 species